rnacentral:rRNA from 1 species
GACGAACGCUGGCGGCGUGCUUAACACAUGCAAGUCGAACGGAAAGGCCCUGCUUUUGUGGGGUGCUCGAGUGGCGAACGGGUGAGUAACACGUGAGUAACCUGCCCUUGACUUUGGGAUAACUUCAGGAAACUGGGGCUAAUACCGGAUAGGAGCUCCUGCUGCAUGGUGGGGGUUGGAAAGUUUCGGCGGUGGGGGAUGGACUCGCGGCUUAUCAGCUUGUUGGUGGGGUAGUGGCUUACCAAGGCGUUGACGGGUAGCCGGCCUGAGAGGGUGACCGGCCACAUUGGGACUGAGAUACGGCCCAGACUCCUACGGGAGGCAGCAGUGGGGAAUAUUGCACAAUGGGCGGAAGCCUGAUGCAGCAACGCCGCGUGCGGGAUGACGGCCUUCGGGUUGUAAACCGCUUUCGCCUGUGACGAAGCGUGAGUGACGGUAAUGGGUAAAGAAGCACCGGCUAACUACGUG